rnacentral:lncRNA from 1 species
AACAAGGUCAGGGUUAUACCCAAGAUGGCUAUGGUGGGUACCAUGCAUCUGCCCCUCAACCGGGUUAUGGUCCACCCCAGCCAGGUUAUGAUCAACAACAAGGUUACAACUCUACUCCUGGAUAUGGUACCGUUGCCAACCCAACACCUGAAGGGCAAACCCCUUCCUAUGGUGCUCAGGGUGAUGGCAGUCAAGUAAUCCCAUCAACUCAUGGUCAGCAAGGAUACAAUACUAGCCAGCAGCCUAGUCCUAAUCCUAGUUACCCACCCCAAGGACCUACACAGCCAGGUUAUGGCGUUCCUCCAACUUCCCAAGCAGCGUAUGGUACUCAACCACCUUCAGGAUACGGGCCUAGUUAUGCGGCACCGCAGGCUCAGAAACCUGCAGCUGGUCAGGCUGCUUAUGGGCAGCCCCAGCAGUCACCUACUGGCCAAGGGGGCUAUGUCCAGCCUGCUGCUGUGCAGGCAAGUUAUCCUCAUUCUCAGCCACCUCAGGCACAAGCUGGUUAUGCCCAGCCAGAUUCUGCUGCCCAGAGAGCUCCAACAUCUGCUUAUGGUACUGCACAGGCUUCAGGGUAUGCCCCACCAGCAUAUGGUGCAGCACCAGUGACUCAGCCAGGUUAUGGGGGGCAGCAGCCACCACCAUAUAACAGUUCGUAUGGAAGUGGUUAUUCUCAGCCUGCUGCGUAUUCUGCUGAUGGCUCUGCAGCUCCAGCUUCUCAGGCUGUUCCGCCUAGUGGGGUUGCCAAAGCUUCCCCCCAGAGUUGAGAUAUUGUGUGGUAAGCGGAUAAGAAAUUGUGGUCGCAUCUGAUUUUGGAAUUCUGGUGUAAUGUCAUUUAAUAGGGUUUUUAAUUAGGUUUUGUAGUGCAUCAGACUAGUAUUUGUGGUUUAAUGAUUUUGAUUGGAUGGUUUAUAAUGUUUUCUUAUGUACUCUGGCUGCUUUAAGGAUGAUUGUUCUAAGUUUAAAAAUGCAUAUGGGUUGCAGCUUGUCUUCUAUUUAUAUGGAAAUGCUAGAAAUGGAUAGCCAGCAGCAGCAGCAGGGUGAAUGUUUUUCUUUUCUUUAUUGUAGCAUUUAUUACUCCUCCUUACAUUUAAAAUUAAGAUAUCUAUGUAUGUCCUUUGGAACAAACUCUAUUAUCUGAUGGUUUGAAAUGGUAGGUAGGUAGAUAGGUAGGUAGGAGCUAUUAUUCCUCGAAAGCAGCAGUAAUUUCUGGUGGGUCAUUGGAGUGUGGUUGCAGAGGGUGUGCGAUCAAAUUCUCAUUCUCGGGUGCUCACGCAAGUGUAACUAGUUAGUUGUUUAUAUAUAAGGAAGGCGGUGGACGUGGAGUUUUAAAACAUAUUGGGGAUGAUAUCGAUUCGCAAACUUUUAUUUGUUCUGGACAAACCCCCAGUACUUGAACUAAAAUCCUUUUAUAAAGGAAUUAUUUAGGCGGAGUUUUCUUUCUCUUUUAUAUUUUCAAAAUUCAUAAUUAUUUCGUUUUAAAAAGUAUACAUAUAUAUAUAUAUAUAUAUAUAGUUUAAAGUUUGUAUUCUGAUAUGUUAAAUGAAGUAAACAGUUCGAAUUUUAUUUGUAUUUUUCUAUUCGAGCUCGAUUCAAAAUAUAAAUAAUUUAAAUAUGAGUAAAUUUUAUCUUUUUAAAUUAUAAUUUUUUCAAACUCUUCAAAUUUUAUUUUAUACUCAAUUGUGUGAUGCAUUUACCCCCCUUAUUUUGAGUAUUUAUUUAUGAAACCUCCCUUAUCCUAAAAAUGUUGCAGUUAGACUAAUGAAUAUUAUGUUGGUCCACCACGCAAACAACACAAUAAAAAGCCAAAGCGCAUUAAAGUACUACUACACGUUGGCACACGUUUAUAUGUUUUUACAUUAUUUAUUUAAAAAAGUGAAUAUUUAUUUUAUAUGAUUUGAAGAUGUGAGUUCAGAACUUUAUAAUACUCUUCUGGUGGACUUUUCAUAUAUUAAGAAGAUGAAUGAAAUGAUAAAAUUAUCCAUAAUAAUGUUAUUAAAUAUGAAGAGAGAAUUAGAAUAAAAAAAGUAUGAGAUAUUUAAUGUUACGGGUAUCAUAGGAAAAUAUGGGUAAAAGUUUGAUUAUUAAAGGAAAAUAGACAUUUAACAUGAGACUACCAAAAAUAGUAAUAAUGACUUUUAUCAUGGGAUGGAGAGAGUAAUAAAUACUUAUAAAUUUGAAAUNNNNNNNNNNNNNNNNNNNNNNNNNNNNNNNNNNNNNNNNNNNNNNNNNNNNNNNNNNNNNNNNNNNNNNNNNNNNNNNNNNNNNNNNNNNNNNNNNNNNAAUUUUUGUUUAUUGGAUUGAAGAGUAGCCUGUUCACUUGUUCAAUAUAUUAGUCUUGAAUAAAUUUGAUUGGUCAGCUGGAUAUUAUUCUUUCGUCAUGAAUUUUAUACCAGUGAAAUGUUAUGCUUCGGAGCAUAAUUGCGGUUCAAGGUAGCUCUUGGUAUCUUCCCUUGAUCGUUUUCUUAAAUAUGGUGCUUCACUUGCCUAAAUAUUUUUUUGCUUGGAUUUGUAUGAAAUUAAUUGAGUUGUAACCGUGUAUAUAGCUCAUGUUGACCCAUUGUUUCUCUUUUCCCCCUUUACUACAUGUCCUUAUUUUAUUCUUCCACUAUUUUUUAAUCCUCUCUUGAGGGUUUCUCACACGUUUAAAACAAUUGAAUAACAGUUAUCCUAUUUUAUUUAUAAUUCAUCUGAAACCUCUCUUAUUCUCUGUGCUGAUCUCUUUCUAGGGUUUGUUUAUCAUCUCUUUUUAUUGUUUUAAUUGCCUAAAGGUUCUUAUGCAGUUAUAAUCUGUGAAAAGUAUAGGGGUUAAUUGACUAAUUCUUUUUUUGACAUUCAGUCAACUUCUAAGUUCUUGUUAACAAACCUCUCAACAGUUUCCUUUUCGCAUAUUCAAUUCUCGCUGAUCCUGACAUUUCUCUCUAUUGCAUAUUGUGAAGCAAUAGUUACUAGAUAUUUUGUAUUUAGCGGUAUUGCUCGUUUUAGUACAUGUGUUUUUUUACCUGGGAGGUGGUAUUAUGAACGUAAUAAGAUCCUUUGUCCUUUUGUGUAAUACAAUAAUUCUUAUGUUGAUAAUUCAAUUGAUCGACUGGAUGGUCGCUGCAUAUCUUGCUUCUAGUACGAUCUUUGUAUAUGUUUCUGCAAUUUUCUUUUGUACCCAUUCACUUCGAAUAGGGAGAGGAUGGGGCAUCUGCUGGAGUAGCAAUAGUACCACUCAACCAGUACGGUAUGUAGGCGCCUAACUAAAUCCGUCUUAAUACAGUUAUGCACUUCAUCUCCUUGUGUAGUUUUGAUAGUGAAUUGACAUACUGUGCUAUCGUGUUGGUUUCUGGGCAUGUUAUUUUGUAGCUGUGAGUGUAUGUAUAAUGCUUUUAUUCUUUCACAAGGAUAUUUCUUAUAAUUCAUUGGAUUAGGUUCCUUGGUUCAUAUGAGAUAACAACUUUGUGCAGAAUCGUCUUAGAAACCCAUCAAUGACGGGAUAUUCUCAGCAAGGUUACCAAGCUCGACCUCCUACAAACUGGGCCUCUCCUGGUCAGCAACAACCUGGUUAUGGAUAUAUUCAGCCUGGAGCGUAUCCCGGACAGGCACCACAGUAUAAUAUGUCUCAAUCACAGUAUCCUGGUUAUCCUCCGCAACCCGCUUCUGGUGGAUAUGCAGGCUGGGACCAGACCACUGCAGCAACUAAUCAGCAGACUGCUCAGGGAGGCGGCUAUGACUACUACAGCCAGCAAUCAGCUCCACAGCAGCAGCAAGCCCCUGGUGGUGCCUCAGGUCCCGCAGAUAAUGCUGCCUACGGUUACAAUCAGCAAGCAGCGUCUGGUUACAAUCAACAAGGUCAGGGUUAUACCCAAGAUGGCUAUGGUGGGUACCAUGCAUCUGCCCCUCAACCGGGUUAUGGUCCACCCCAGUCAGGUUAUGAUCAGCAACAAGGUUACAACUCUACUCCUGGAUAUGGUACCGUUGCCAACCCAACACCUGAAGGGCAAACCCCUUCCUAUGGUGCUCAGGGUGAUGGCAGUCAAGUAAUCCCAUCAACUCAUGGUCAGCAAGGAUACAAUACUAGCCAGCAGCCUAGUCCUAAUCCUAGUUACCCACCCCAAGGACCUACACAGCCAGGUUAUGGCGUUCCUCCAACUUCCCAAGCAGCGUAUGGUACUCAACCACCUUCAGGAUACGGGCCUAGUUAUGCGGCACCGCAGGCUCAGAAACCUGCAGCUGGUCAGGCUGCUUAUGGGCAGCCCCAGCAGUCACCUACUGGCCAAGGGGGCUAUGUCCAGCCUGCUGCUGUGCAGGCAAGUUAUCCUCAUUCUCAGCCACCUCAGGCACAAGCUGGUUAUGCCCAGCCAGAUUCUGCUGCCCAGAGAGCUCCAACAUCUGCUUAUGGUACUGCACAGGCUUCAGGGUAUGCCCCACCAGCAUAUGGUGCAGCACCAGUGACUCAGCCAGGUUAUGGGGGGCAGCAGCCACCACCAUAUAACAGUUCGUAUGGAAGUGGUUAUUCUCAGCCUGCUGCGUAUUCUGCUGAUGGCUCUGCAGCUCCAGCUUCUCAGGCU